GACGAACGCUGGCGGCGUGCUUAACACAUGCAAGUCGAACGCUGAAGCUUGGUGCUUGCACUGGGUGGAUGAGUGGCGAACGGGUGAGUAAUACGUGAGUAACCUGCCCUUGACUCUGGGAUAAGCCUGGGAAACUGGGUCUAAUACUGGAUACGACAUGUCACCGCAUGGUGGUGUGUGGAAAGGGUUUUACUGGUUUUGGAUGGGCUCACGGCCUAUCAGCUUGUUGGUGGGGUAAUGGCUCACAAAGGCGACGACGGGUAGCCGGCCUGAGGGGGUGGCGGGCACAGCGGGGCGGAGACAAGGCCCAGACUCCCUAGGGGGGGAAGAGGGGGGAAAAUUGGAAAAAGGGGGGGAGGCCUGAGGCAGCAACGCGGGGGGGGGAAGGAGGGCCUUGGGGUGGAAAACCCUUUUCAGCCGGAAAAAGGGGAAGGGGAGGGAACGGGCAAAGAAGGCCCGGGUAAACACGGG
rnacentral:rRNA from 1 species